rnacentral:lncRNA from 1 species
AAAUUAGAAAACAUUGGUAAAAUAUUAUAUUGUCAUUUAAAGAAUUAUAGAUUUACAUCUCUUGAACGCAAUCAACUUGCCAGAUUUAAAAAUAACCUUACUGGGAAAUCACACUUUGCAAUAAUCUGAGCACUGCGCCCAGAAAAAUACGCGUUGCGAUACAGACUAGUCGUCAUGUUGGGGAGAUCUAAAAUCGAAAAUACUAUGUAAAUAAUCCAUUACCUUUGAUUCUCUUCAUCAGAUGUCACUUCCAGGUAUCACAGGUCCAUAACAAAUGUAGUUUUGUUCAAAAAAGCUCAUCAUUUAUGUCCAAAAAUCUCCGUCUUGUUAGCACAUGAUCUAAGCCCGCCGAACUUCACUUCAUGAACGAGGGGAAAAAAUAUAUUUACGUUCGUUCAAACAUGUCAAACGUUGUAUAGCAUAAAUCAUUAGGGCCUUUUUUAACCAGAACAUGAAUAAUAUUCAAGGUGGACGAAUGCAUACUCUUUUAUAACGUAUUGGAACGAGGGUACCCAACAUGAACUCGCGCGCCAGGUGUCUAAUGGGCCAUCAUCGUUCCAUGGCUCUUUGUUGUGAAUUUAAGAGCGUCGUGUAG